UACGUAGGGGGCAAGCGUUGUCCGGAUUUAUUGGGCGUAAAGAGCGUGUAGGCGGCCAGGUAGGUCUGCUGUGAAAACUCGAGGCUUAACCUCGAGAUGUCGGCGGAAACCAUCUGGCUAGAGUCCGGAAGAGGAGAAUGGAAUUCCCGGUGUAGCGGUGAAAUGCGCAGAUAUCGGGAAGAACACCCGUGGCGAAGGCGGUUCUCUGGGACGGUACUGACGCUGAGACGCGAAAGCCAGGGGAGCAAACGGG
rnacentral:rRNA from 1 species